rnacentral:lncRNA from 1 species
UAAAAAUGAUAUGAUUACAAGUAAAUCUAUGGUUGACAAUGCUCGACUAAUUAAUGUACGGACUUUGAUUACAAAUAUAAAUCUAUGGUUGACCAUAAAUGCACAUCAUCCAUGAUGUGAUCCGGGAAAGAAGUCUUAGAGAUGAGAUUGUCGUCGGUCAAGCCGAAAGGUGAGAACAUGGUCUCACUUGAUAAUGCCACGCCAUUGUUGUCCGGUAAAAAUAGCUGAUCAAACCAUAAAUUUCCGGCCGGCUCAGAAAACUGUGGUGUAGCGUCGUCACAAGGAACUUCAUAAUCUGAUACACUCAAAGAACAUUGAGAAGAUUCACUUGUUGAAGAAGAUGACGGUGAUUCAGAUGUUAAGACUGCCAAUAAAAUUUCAACUUCCAGUGGGGUUUUUAAGUUGGGUUUUUUCACCUGUUGACAUCCUCUGGGAGUAGCUUUAAAAGGUUCAAGGUUUUCAAAUUGUUCGAUCGUUUGAUCUUUUCGGACCUGGUUUUUCAGAUGUGUGUGCCAAUGGUUUUUUAUUUCAUUGUCGCUUCUUCCAGGCAACUGUGCGGCCAUCGUUGACCAUCUGUAGAUAUAACAACCAAAUUUCAUUAAUCAACAAGUCCACUAUCAAAUAAACAUAAUCUAGGUAUAAAAAUUGUUUGAACCUACUUGUUUCCAAGCUUCUUAUGUAAACCAACAAUGACAUCUUCUUCUUCUUUUGUAAAAUUACCACGUUUCAUGUUUGGGCGUAGAUAAUUCAUCCAUCGCAGCCUACAGCUUUUCCCACAUCUAGACAAACCUAAACAAGAAAAGCAAAGAACAAUAUAUAAAGUAAGACAAGAGCAUUAAUCAUUUAAAAACUUUUUAUAUUUUUUGGAAGUGGGUCUAACCAGCUAACUUGGGAAGUUCUCGCCAGUUAGAAUGGCCGUAUAUCUGUAUGUAAGCUCUUAGUUUGUUGUCUUCCUCUUUGCUCCAUGCACCUUUUUUGAUUCCGUUUUUAUCAAAACAUGGAGCCCUCACCAUCUUCUUGACUUCUUGUCUUCGAUCUUUCAGUUCUCUUUAGAGACCUUUUCAGUGGCUACUGGCUAAUGAAGACUUAAGCUACUGGAUCCAAAUAGGCUUAUAUAUAUAUAUAUAUACCUACAAAUUAAUUACCAAAACGUGUAUGGAAGUAACUAAUUAAUUUAAAAAGACCAUAAAAACUUCUUACUUUUUUCUUCCCUUCAAACGUUCAAGGGAAGACUAAAAAGUACGUACGCUCUUGCUGAUCUAAUUAAACAUAUACUAUAUAUUAUAUUAGCGUUGUUUUCGAAGUACUGAUAACAUUAAAUGAAUGUAUCAACACUUCUUGUCGAGUUGAUAAAAAGAAUAAGCGUAAAUUACACAAGUGGUAGCUAUGGUUUAGGGUCUCCUUAAUUUUAUUUUUUUAUUUUCGGAUGGUCCUUUCAAUUUGGUUUUUUAUUAAUUUGCUCUCUAAUCAAUAUAAACCGAGUGAUUUGUAUUUUUUUUAUCCUUUUUAUAUUAUUAGUUAAUUGAAAAAUAUUAAUGAUACGUAUUAUAAAUGUAUUAAUUAAGUAAAUAAAUAGGUCCAUUUCAAUACAAGAAACCCAAACCAUCCUGACCCCUCUUUCCUUGAUUGUGUUCGCCAACCGGGAAACCACAUCCGACCAUCAUCACCACCAAGCUCUAACCACCACCAUAACUGACCUCCAAAAAUCCAUUCAGGAAAUCAAUCACUUAUAUAAACACACAUAGACAUAGGCACAAAACCUGCAACAUCUACGAUCUUCAGAAAUACAUGAGAAACAUCUUCUUCUCCACACACCACCAACCACUUGUAAAUCUGAAACCCAAACCACGAUACCUAAAAAAAAACAACAGUAUAGGACACAAGGGUAUGAAAGGGGAUUUGAGAGAAGGACGGGUGGGGGUAGGACACAAGAACGAGUUCAGUUUGUCGAGAUAGAUCUGGUUCGUUGGAAGGAGAUUCAAGAACCAGUAGAUGGAAAGAAGGUUGUAACACCCGGUUUUCCGGAUCGGGUCGAUUUAGGGUUUCAAGGAGUCAAGACAUGGUUUUUGGAAAAAAAAAAAAAACCAAGGCUCACGACGUGACCAUUGAAGGGAUUUAAUGAAGAUUCUGAUUUAACUGAGCUCAUGACGUGAGCAUGAAGAGCUCACGAAUUAAGGUACGCUGCAGCCCAAGCCCACGAUCUUUUAGGGUUUCCAUCAUAUUUAAACCCCAUAAACUCAGUAAAACCCUAACCCUAGCAUCUCCUUGUGUUUAUUGAGCUUUUUGUGGAGUUUUGGAGGUUUGAAGUGGAAGAGAUCACCAUAGAAGCAUAGUUGCAGCUUGGAAGCUUCAUUUGCAACCUUUAGCUACCCUUCUAGACCAAUGUGAGUAAUCAAGAUCCAAGAUUUAUGUUUCCUUAUUGCUAGAUCUAAGGUUUUAUGAAUAUUUAUCCAAGAUCUUAAGAGUUAGAGUGUUGGGACUCCAUAAAGUUAGCAACUUUAUGGGUCCUUAGGGUCCCUAGAUGCUUACAUAUCAUAGAAUUGAUGUUUGAAUGAUGUUGGAGUUCAUGCAUGAGAAUGUAUCUUCUUUUUCUCCAUGAAUGACCUAGUUUGAGGCCAUGUCUUGUAUUACACAUACAAGACCUUAAAGCAUCGAUUUUUAUGACCAUUGGUGUAACACCCGCAGAUUCAGGCUAGUCAAUUUAGAGACAACAAGUGUCGAAAAUGAAUUUUCGAUAGAAGAUUAUUUAGAAUAAAUAAUCUUAACUAAGUUGUAGGAUAUGUCACAAUGGUUUCGAACAUAUAAAGAACGUUGAAAUCCGAGUUAUAACGAAGAAGUUAUGACCCGUCGAAGUUUUACGGUUAAACCGACAUGAAACCGUGUAACGUAAAAAGUGAAUUUUUGAUAAACUACUUUUUAGUCUUAGCGAUCUAAAUGAAAGUUGUAGUAUACAUUAAACCGAGAGCGUACAUAAAAAGAACGCCCAAAUCUGACUUCGUAUGAGGAAGUUAUGAUAUUUCUAAGAUUUGGCAUAACAAUGCACAACCCGAAAUUCGAAUUUCGGAUCUAUCAAUUUUUGGCCAAUGCAACCUAAAUGAAAAUUGAAGGUCUCAUUAAUAGGAUCUCAACGAUAAAAAGACAGACGAAAAGGAAGUCCGUAUGUAGAAGUUAUGAAUUUUACGCAGUCAUUUAACAAUAUAAUUUUCUCAUACUGUUAAAUUUAAAAUUGGUCGAGAAUUACCCGAUGGAGUCAAAAGAAAAGUUGUAGAUCUUGUCCGUACCUACGUGUGGAUAUAAAGAACAUCAAAAACGAAGUUCGUAUGCGAAAGUUAUGAAUUUUUAAAGAUUGGUUGUUUUACUUGCGUCCAGCGCCACGUGUCAGCACCAGACUUUGCCUUGGAGCCUACACAAGGCUCGCGACGUGAGCACCCUUUUCACGACUUGAAUCGGCCAAGACAAAAUAUAAAUACAGGCGUAAAUCACCCCCAAAACCCACACCUUUCAUAUUCUUUCUCUCCCAUUACCCCCAACCCCUUUUUUCCAUUCCUUAGUACUUCUUAAGUGCUAGAAGCGAGUCCUGNNNNUACUUCCGAGAAGAAGAGCUUUCGGCUCGGAAGUUCUGCUCCUGCAGAGCCCGGCUCCUAGCCAAACCCCCUCGUAGUUAAGAUAUGCUUACGCUACUUUAAGUAUAACUUAUAUUUAAAUAUAGUAUUAUUAUUAUGAACCUAUAAAUAAAAUUUAUCAGUGCUUCAAAGUCGUUAUAUUGAUUGAUCUACUUACGGGGAUGAUGUAUAGGCUAUAAUUUAGUGAGGUGUUUAAUGUGAGAUUUCCAAACAGUAUACUUCGUAUAUCAAACGGACCCUAUCUCCGAUAUGAUCAUACUUGGUUGUUCGUUACUUGAUAGAUUAUGAAAGUAGAUUUUGAGUUAAUGAUGAAUUUAGACUAAUAAUUAGUCGCAAUAAAGAUUAGACUAAAACUUAGCGAUAAUAAUGCUAGGUUUCAUUCAAGGAAAAUAGAAUCGUUAUAGCGAAGCGCUUCCCAAGUUUGGAAUCAUCACUUCAACAAGUGAGUGCAUAAUUACUUUCAUCUUACACAUAUAUAUGAAAUAUUUUAUAUAAAUUACGUGUUAUAUGUGCAUAUAACAUGUAUACUUGCUAUCUAUACUGGAUGAACAAUUUUAUACAUGUUUUAAAUAAUUUAGAUUGUAUAUGUAUCUAUAUGAUGUAUCUAUGUUACUAAUAAUCGAAUUUCAAGCGUUCAUCAUAACUUUGUAAGUUUUGUUUAUUUCAAUGGUUAUAAGUUAACUUUACUUCUUCAAAACUUCAAGAAUUCUAUUAUUUCGAGAUGUAGCACUUCAUGAUAAUCAGAUUUUUACGAACAUUCUUAUUCAUUUUAGUAAUUUGAAAAUAAACAUAACUUUUAGUGAAUUAGUAGCUCUACAUUUGGUACAUCAUUGUUACUUUUAGUUAUUUGACCAUAAUUUCUUGGAUUUUAAAGACUUUAUGUCCAAUUUUGUACCCGGACAUCAAAUUGGUUUGUACAGGUAGGUGAUUAUUCCCUUUAACAUGAGCCUAGUUUAUAUUAUAGAGUGAGUUUAAAAAUGAUAUGGUUACAAAUAAAUCUAUGGUUGACAAUGCUUGACUAAUUAAUGUACGGACUUUGAUUACAAAUAUAAAUCUAUGGUUGACCAUAAAUGCACAUCAUCCAUGAUGUGAUCCGGGAAAGAAGUCUUAGAGAUGAGAUUGUCGUCGGUCAAGCCGAAAGGUGAGAACAUGGUCUCACUUGAUAAUGCCACGCCAUUGUUGUCCGGUAAAAAUAGCUGAUCAAACCAUAAAUUUCCGGCCGGCUCAGAAAACUGUGGUGUAGCGUCGUCACAAGGAACUUCAU